UAACAAAGAUAUGUUGAUUCACACGUGUCGAACAAAUCCAUUUCAAAUUUCAUAUUUAUAUUGAGAGAGAGAGCUAUAUGCAAAAAAAAUAAUUCAAGAAAAUACAAGAAUAUUUUUACAAAUUUGCAGGUAAAAACCCCCCAAUCCACCGGUAAAUCGAACAAAAAAAAAAUACACCCUUCCUGGAAAACAAAUCCACCGGUAAAAAACCUGAAAAAAUCACCUCCUAAUCCCACCAUUUUACCGUCUCCUCGCCCCUCCAUCCACCCAUUCUCAGCCUUUCACUCUCAUUUUCACUUCUCACCCAAAAAUAGAGAGGAGUGAAAAACCCUCAAACCACCGCUAGAGAGAGGAAAGAUUAGCAGAGAGGAUCUUGGAAUUUGGGGAUUUUGCUCCGAGUGAUUAACGCUUUGGAGGGGGUUUUGCAACUUUCUGUGGGAUGCAACGACAGAGGUAGCAGGUGGCGGACACAACAUAGAGAAAUCCAAGAAAGAAAAAUCCCGCUGCUUGUAUCUAAAGACGAUUGCUUAUAACAAAUUUUCAUUUGCAAAGAUUUGGCCGAUGGCUGUCCAGUUUAAAUACGGCAGUUAAAUAUUGAUCGGCAAGGCGAAUUUUAGAGUCGGCAAUUGGCAUGGCUCCCAAAGAUAAGAGUGUUGUUCUAGGAGCAAAGGAUUUGCUUAAGCGAUCACAUGGCAUCAAUUAUUUACACAGUUGAAGCAAGAAAGGCAGGAUAGAGCAAGGUUUCAAGGCAAAAGUUAUGCUGAGGUCAGUCUUUGAGAACUUUGCAGUCUCUUUUUCAAGCAUAAAGACAAAAGAAUGAAUCUGCUCUUGUGGUAGACAUUGUGCUCUUCCGUGCUUGGACUCAGGUCGAAGUUUUUCGCUUUUCCAUCCUCUGACAACAACAUUGCAUCCACUCGAUAGGACUUGGCAGGGAAUGAAAACACUUGCUGAACUAAGGAUGAAGAAAACCUUCCAAACAAGCAUUCACUUUACACGAUGUUAAAAAGAUUGUGCUACUUCUGGAGAGUUCAUGGCCUCUACCACUCUGGGCCAUGUGAGUCAACUCCUUCAUAAACGGACUUUUGUAACUCAUAAUUGGAAUGGCAUGUAGAGAGGUUUUGGAUAAUUUUGUAGUCUGUUUUACCAGCAUAAAGACAAAAGGUAAUGUGCCUUGUGGCAUUGAUGGUCUAUUUAUGCAUUGCGGUAUGUGAAACUGUUUCUGUUCAACACCUUGCUGCCAGACUUUCUGAAUUUGUUCAGGUGUUGAAACUCUAUUGUUGCUCUCCAUUUGGUGCUUAGGUUACACAUUCAACUAAAAUACAACCUUGUAAGAGUCCUAGGUUGUUCCAAAAAGAUUCCUAGAAUGUAAGAUGAUGAUUGCUAGGUUGCUCAAAAAUAAAAGACUCACGUUUUCCUCCUUUUCCCCCAUACAUUGUAAAGCUAUUAAAAUUAUUACUCUAUUCUAUCUUUUUACAUUAUGAUUUUUCAAUAUUUUCAUUUUGUUAGAUGCAUUAUUAAUUAAAUUACAUGUUACAUGGCAAUCUUAUUUUAUAGAAUGAAUCUGCUCGUGUGGUAGACACUGUGCUCUUGCGUGCUUGGACUCAGGUCGAGUAUGUUGCUUUUUACCAUCCUGUGGAAACAACAUUGCAACCACUAGAUAGGACUUGGCAGCAAUGAAAACACUUGCUGAUAUAAGGAUGGAAAAAACCUUCCAGUGCCAGUCAAUAAGGAUUCAGUUUACUUAUAACUCCUUUUCUUUCCUACUCCAACCUUAAGAAAGAAAUGGAAAUAGAUUAAUAAACAAAUUGAGGGGUACUUCUAAAUUCUAAUAAAUGAAGAUUGAUAACUUUUUAUGGGUGAUUUUAUAAUAUUUAUUCUUUAAUAUUUUUUGUUAUUUGUUGAAGUUUUAGCUUUACUAUUUUAUGUUUGUGAUAAAUGUGAUAAAUGUAGACUAAUAGGAUAAAAAGAUAUUUAGUAUUAAUCACCUCUUUAAUAAGUUUUAAUCCGUCUUUUCGUUAAAAACUACUAAAAUUAUAUUUAGGUACUACUAUCCUUUUAUAAUUAAUUCUCAUUUAUUAAUAAAAAUAGUCCUUAACGGUAUAUAU